CAACAGGGAUUGCCCUAGUAACGGCGAGUGAAGCGGCAACAGCUCAAAUUUGAAAUCUGGCGUCUUUGGCGUCCGAGUUGUAAUUUGCAGAGGGCGCUUUGGCAUUGGCAGCGGUCCAAGUUCCUUGGAACAGGACGUCACAGAGGGUGAGAAUCCCGUACGUGGUCGCUAGCCUUUACCGUGUAAAGCCCCUUCGACGAGUCGAGUUGUUUGGGAAUGCAGCUCUAAAUGGGAGGUAAAUUUCUUCUAAAGCUAAAUACUGGCCAGAGACCGAUAGCGCACAAGUAGAGUGAUCGAAAGAUGAAAAGCACUUUGGAAAGAGAGUUAAAAAGCACGUGAAAUUGUUGAAAGGGAAGCGCUUGCAGCCAGACUUGCCUGUAGUUGCUCAUCCGGGUUUCUACCCGGUGCACUCUUCUAUAGGCAGGCCAGCAUCAGUUUGGGCGGUUGGAUAAAGGUCUCUGUCAUGUACCUCUCUUCGGGGAGAACUUAUAGGGGAGACGACAUGCAACCAGCCCGGACUGAGGUCCGCGCAUCUGCUAGGAUGCUGGCGUAAUGGCUGUAAGCGGCCCGUCUUGAAACACGGACCAAGGAGUCUAACAUCUAUGCGAGUGUUUGGGUGUCAAGCCCGAGCGCGUAAUGAAAGUGAACGGAGGUGGGAACCUUUCGGGGUGCACCAUCGACCGAUCCUGAUGUCUUCGGAUGGAUUUGAGUAAGAGCAUAGCUGUUGGGACCCGAAAGAUGGUGAACUAUGCUUGAAUAGGGUGAAGCCAGAGGAAACUCUGGUGGAGGCUCGCAGCGGUUCUGACGUGCAAAUCGAUCGUCAAAUUUGGGCAUAGGGGCGAAAGACUAAUCGAAC
rnacentral:rRNA from 1 species